UGAGAUUGUGAAUAAGGCAAAUGCUAGGCGAGGAGACAGAGUUGAGGAUCCAGUGGUCGAGGAGUGUUCAGGAAAGUUGAUGUGGUUGGUGCAAGCUAGAGCUGUGCUAUAGGGAUUCAAGUGUAAGUCAUAGCUGGAAUAGUUGACAGUGAUUCUUCUUAUCGAAGAUGAUCUGAUUUGGUAAGAAAUGUUGUGUAAUAUUAGUGGUGGAUUCUAAUUUCAAUACUGUAACCUGGAUGCGAUCCUGUUGUUUUAGGGGGUGAAAAUGUUCUCAUUCAAAUCUUUUAUUAAAUGUUUUCAAGUUUUAAAUUCUUUUGGAUUUUCAAUAUCUUUAAAAAAAAAAUUAAAAAAAAAUACAGGUUUUCAAAGUGUUUUAAAAAGGUUUCGUGUGGUGACGUCAGAAUCCAGGCCCCAGGAUUCUCGGGCUGUCACACUUUACAUCCAUUUGAUGGACGAUAAGACCAUGCACAGAAGCCAAUGCUAUAAGCAUUCGGAUGGUUGUCAUUCUAGCAAC
rnacentral:lncRNA from 1 species